UCCGGUUUGGCACCGGCAGUCCUCCCAGAGUCCUCGGCAUAACCCGGUAGCAACUGGGAGCGGGGGUUGCGCUCGUUGCGGGACUUAAGGCAACACCUCACGGCACGAGCUGACGACAGCCAUGCACCACCUGUGCACUGGCCCCGAAGGGCUGCCGUAUUUCUACGACAUUCCAGUGCAUGUCAAGCCCUGGUAAGGUCCUUCGCGUUGCGUCGAAUUAAGCCACAUGCUCCGCCGCUUGUGCGGGUCCCCGUCAAUUCCUUUGAGUUUUAGUCUUGCGGCCGUACUCCCCAGGCGGGGCACUUAUUGCGUUAGCGUCGGCACGGGAGGAGUCGACACCUCCCACACCUAGUGCCCAUCGUUUACGGCGUGGACUAC
rnacentral:misc_RNA from 1 species